AACGAACGCUGGCGGCGCGUCUUAAACAUGCAAGUCGAACGAUCUGUAGCAAUACAGGGAGUGGCGGACGGGUGAGGAACACGUAGGAAUCUACCUUGAAGAGCGGGACAACUUUGGGAAACCGGGGCUAAUACCGCAUAGUACAGAGAUGUUAAAGGGCUAGCAAUAGUCGCUUCGAGAUGAGCCUGCGGUCUAUCAGCUUGUUGGUGAGGUAAUGGCUCACCAAGGCUACGACGGAUAGCCGGUCUGAGAGGAUGAUCGGCCACACUGGCACUGAGACACGGGCCAGACUCCUACGGGAGGCAGCAGUUAAGAAUCUUGCGCAAUGGGGGAAACCCUGACGCAGCGACGCCGCGUGAAGGAUGAAGGCUUUCGGGGUUGUAAACUUCGGGUAGACUGGGAAGAAGAAAAUACGGUUACGUUGAGGGCGUAUAGUGACGGUACCAGUCUGAAGCCCCGGCUAAUUCGUAGCCAGCAGCCGCGGUAA
rnacentral:rRNA from 1 species